UCGGUUGCCGUGACAUGAGCGACGGGAAUAGGGAAGGGGCGGGCGUGUGUCGUAAUUAGGGGGCGUAAAGCGGUGGUAGGGGGAAGGGUCAGUCAGCCGGGAAAGCCCCGGGCUCAACCGGGGAACGGCGGUUGGGACGGCCCGUCUCGAGUGGGCUAGAGGAUCGUGGAAGUCCGGGUGUAGCGGUGAAAUGCGUAGAGAUCCGGAGGAACACCGAUGGCGAAGGCAGCGAUCUGGGGCCACACUGACGCUGAGGCACGAAAGCGUGGGGAGCAAACAGGAUUAGAUACCCUAGUAGUC
rnacentral:rRNA from 1 species